rnacentral:rRNA from 1 species
UACGGAGGGUGCAAGCGUUAUUCGGAUUCACUGGGCUUAAAGGGUGCGUAGGCGGGUUAGUAAGUCCGGGGUGAAAUCUCUGAGCUUAACUCAGAAACUGCCGUGGAUACUACCGGUCUUGAAUAUCGUGGAGGUGAGCGGAAUAUGUCAUGUAGCGGUGAAAUGCUUAGAUAUGACAUAGAACACCCAUUGCGAAGGCAGCUCACUGGCCGAAUAUUGACGCUGAGGCACGAAAGCGUGGGGAUCAAACAGG